GAUGAAGAACGUAGCGAAAUGCGAUACUUAAUGUGAAUUGCAGAAUUCAGUGAAUCAUCGAGUCUUUGAACGCACAUUGCGCCCCCUGGUAUUCCGGGGGGCAUGCCUGUCCGAGCGUCAUUGCUGCCCUCAAGCACGGCUUGUGUGUUGGGCCUCCGUCCUCCUCCCGGGGGACGGGCCCGAAAGGCAGCGGCGGCACCGCGUCCGGUCCUCGAGCGUAUGGGGCUUCGUCACCCGCUCUUGUAGGCCCGGCCGGCGCUUGCCGACACAUCAAUCUUUUUUCCAGGUUGACCUCGGAUCAGGUAGGGAUACCCGCUGAACUUAAGCAUAUCAAUAAGCGGAGGA
rnacentral:misc_RNA from 1 species